UCCUGUGCCUCGCCUCUCCAGGUCAUUGGGCCAGAACUCCUGGGCUGGGCGGGGUGAGAGGCCAAGAGGCCCAGCCCAGGGUGAAUCUGCAUUGGGUUGAUCACACUGCAGUGGAUCCGUUCCUCAGCGAAAUAUUGCUCAGGUGUGGAUACGAGUUAGUCACAUAACAUUUGCCUACACUGCAGUAACACCCCCCUCUCCCACUGGCCUGAGCCAGGUGACACAGGCUGUUCAACAGGGUGUUGAUACUCAGGUCUGGGUGGAGAUGAGGCUCUAGGACCCUGCAGGGGGGGAGUGCUGGCUCAAACUGCAGCUGGUGCUCCAGGAGCCUGACUCAGCUGGCACAGGCUAGCCAGGGUGCCUUGCCGCAGUGUAGGCAGGUGGCUGACAUGUUGCUCGGGAGACUGAUGCUCAGACUUCAAGCAAGAUGCUGGGCCAGGGCCGGGGGUAUAUGCUGUGCUCCCCAAGGUGCAGCUGCUGGGCCUGGCAUUCUCCUGGGGGACAGUGAGUUCAGUGUGGGAGAGAAAAGCCCCUGGAAUCUACAGUGGGUACCUUGUGUCUGUGCGGUGAGAGGGUGGGGACAGCUGCACUGUAGCCCCUGCCAUGGCUGGGACGCUGCAUUGUGUAUGCAAAUUACAAAAGCACGAUGGGGCUUGUGUGCAGGCAUCUCAUUAGACUUCAUCCUAUGCUGGGACUGAAGGCCUGAGGGGUCAGUAGGCAUGAGGGGCAGGACUGUUAUGGAGACCAAGACAGGGGAGCAGCUGCUGGGGGUGAUGUGGGUGAGAGAGGAUCAGGCAGCGCACGGGGUGAUGGGCCAUGUGGAGGGAGGAUGCAGCAGAUGAUCAAGGAGCAUCUGUACUUCUAGAAAGAAACAGGCAGAACCUCUCCAGCUCACUCAGGCUUUUGACCCCUUUGGGCACAGAUAGGUAGGUGUGGCUCAUACCAACUGGUCUCCUCUCACUCCUGUGCUGGCACGGCCUACUCAGGUACGAACGUGGGUGGCUGCUGAGCCACAGAGCUAUUUUAGUGCACUAGCUUGAGUAGACGAGUGUAGCUCUAUCACUUGGUUUGAUGCUCACGCCUCUUUAUUUCAUCAGCUGGGCCUGGCGAUCCAGUGGGAGCCCCGCUCCGUGCUGCUCCCACCCUGCCCUGCCUCGGGGAGGGGAAAGCAUGCACCUCGGGAGCUUUCAGACGUGCAUCCAGAGCUCUGCUAGCACCUCGUUCUGACUGACUUUAAAUGAUCUCUCAGCUCCGAUAUGCAGCCUCCCUCUACCGAGCCCUCUGGCCAAGAGACUGCAUGUGGACUGGGGCUACAGGAAUCCCUUGCCCAGCAGGCCUCAUCCCUCUGCCUGGCCUCUUACCACCUCAGCAUGCUGAACGUUGGCCUCCCCUCUGAGCCACCCUUCUGCCUGGAUGGGCCUAGGCAGGGCAGGUGCUCGGCCAUUGGGCUGAAGAGUGAAAUAUUGUUGGUGGCUCUCUGAUGUUCAAAGCCUGCCCCAGAGGCUGUAGCUCCCAAAGGGGUUUCUCAGUGCUGCAGGUCACACUCUCAUUACCUGAUCUGGGGCCUGCUGUUGUUUCUUUUCCAGGUCCUGCUUUCCAGAAGGAGCCAUUUGCUGUUGGAGACCCACAAUUCAUGCAUAACCUCUCUGCUCAGCCCUGGCAGAUGAAAAUGGCCAACCUUACCUAUGACAACUUCACCAAUGGCAACCGAUCUGAGGUGGCCUUGCAGCAUCCUUCUAACCACUAUAAAACUGUAGAGCUCGUCUUCAUUGCCACGGUAACAGGCUCGCUCAGUCUGGUCACUGUGGUGGGGAACAUCCUGGUCAUGCUGUCCAUCAAAGUGAACCGCCAGCUUCAGACUGUGAACAACUACUUCCUUUUCAGCCUGGCUUGUGCUGACCUGAUCAUCGGGGUCUUUUCCAUGAACCUCUACACUGUCUAUAUCAUCAAAGGUUAUUGGCCUCUGGGGGCUGUGGUGUGUGACCUCUGGCUGGCGCUGGACUAUGUGGUGAGCAACGCCUCUGUCAUGAACUUACUCAUCAUCAGUUUUGACCGGUAUUUCUGUGUCACCAAGCCCCUGACUUACCCGGCUCGUAGGACCACCAAGAUGGCAGGGCUGAUGAUUGCAGCAGCUUGGAUAUUGUCCUUUGUUCUCUGGGCUCCUGCCAUUUUGUUCUGGCAGUUCAUUGUUGGGAAGAGGACAGUCCCGGAGCGGGAGUGCUACAUCCAGUUCCUGUCUAAUCCAGCUGUGACUUUUGGCACAGCCAUUGCUGCUUUCUACCUCCCAGUGGUUAUCAUGACUGUGCUUUACAUUCACAUCUCCUUGGCCAGCAGGAGCCGAGUGCGGAGGCACAAACCAGAGAGCAAGAAGGAGAAGAGCGCUAAGCCACUCAGCUUCUUUAAGAGCCCGCUGAUCAAACAGAACAACAACAAUUCUCCCAAGAGGGCAGUGGAGGUGAAGGAGGAGGUGAGGAAUGGUAAAGUGGAGGACCAACCCUUAGCACAGACAGAGGCUGCAGGCCAGCAAGAAGAGAAGGAGACCUCCAAUGAAUCCAGCACAGUCAGUAUCACCCAGACCACAAAAGAGAAGCAGAUGGCAGAAAUUUUACCAGCUGGGCAAGGGCAGAGUCCUGCCCCCCCACGGGUUAACGUGGCCUCCAAGUGGUCCAAAAUUAAGAUAGUCACCAAGCAGACUGGUACUGAAUGUGUCACAGCCAUUGAGAUUGUCCCAGCUAAGACAGCGGCCUCUGCCCAGAACACCCUGUCGAACAGUCGCCCAGCCAAUGUUGCCAGGAAGUUUGCCAGCAUUGCCAGGAGUCAGGUGCGGAAGAAGCGCCAGAUGGCAGCCAGGGAGAAAAAAGUCACCCGAACCAUAUUUGCCAUCCUGCUUGCCUUCAUUUUAACAUGGACUCCUUACAAUGUGAUGGUCCUUAUUAAUACCUUCUGUGAGACCUGCGUGCCAGAGACAGUGUGGUCUAUUGGGUACUGGCUCUGCUAUGUCAACAGCACCAUCAACCCAGCCUGCUAUGCCCUCUGUAAUGCCACUUUCAAGAAAACCUUUAAGCACCUUCUCAUGUGCCAGUACAGGAACAUUGGCACCGCCAGAUAAGCUGCACUGAGGGACUGCUUGGCAGGGUUGCAAAGACUCAUUCCUUUGCCUCUUCUUUUAGGGAGUUCUCUGCUCCCCACUCACAAGAGACAUGGACGGUUCAGAGCUUCCACACGACGCCCUUCUCCCAGUGCGGAAGAAAAUCCAAAGCAGCUGUCAGAUCCAGCUCUUGUAAUCGUUUUCAGCCUAGGGAGUCACCUGAGGAGCCCUCAGCUCAACACAAAGAGCAGCGCCUCUUCCUACACAACCUCUGCCUCUGCACUGGAAGAAAACAAGGAAGAGCAUGUCCCUACCACCAGGUGCCAUGGUUACCUUGAACUCCACGUGGCUCUUCCCUCUGGUAACGUUGGCUGAUUUGGCAGCUAUCUUUUGUUCUCUAGGUAAAACCAUGGAGUUUCUAAAUGGGUUCCCUGCUGAUCACACCUGUGUGCUGGCUUGUGUCACUGUGCAACAAGACACCACGUAACUGAAAUCCUUCUCCCACCAACUGAGCAUCCUGAUGGCUUUGCAGUGAGCAUGGAGAGAAGGUUCCUGGUGUCAUGAGGGGUUCAACAGGGUCUUAAACCCAAGAGAAAAAGCCACUUUGUCAUACAUCAGGUGUCCAAUGAUUCCUUUUGGAUGAGCCUGGACUGGCUGGAAAAGGCCCGUUAGACUACCAGGCUGUCUCCCUGGGGCCAGGAUGGGAUUGUUCUCAAUCAUGCAUUCUCUAGUGGCUUUAAUCAUCCCAAGGAAUGGAUGGGGCUCCCCCCUUCCCUCUGGGGAGGUGACUUUCUGGCCUGAGCCAUCCGCUGUCCAUCCUCAGGGUUCCCUUUCUGAACUCCAUCCCCUCCCUGCAGGGGCUGGAGGUAGAGCCUGAUGGAGUGAGACACUUGUUUCUAGGUGAUAAGCAUAACAUCAAAUGUCAUCCUGAAAAGCAAAAGAGCUUUUAAAACUGCAAGGAAAAAAAUGUCAGUGUGCGAGAUUUAUCUGCUCAGCCCUGAGGGAAUGUGACCUCUGGGACCUGUGUGUGGCAGCAUUAAAAAUAACUAUCCGGGGAAGGGGUGCACUGCUUAAAGGACAGCAAUGCAGAGAGAAACUGCUCCUGCUGCUGAAAAUCGGCUCAGUGGUGGGGAGGAAGAGGCUGUGGAGUUAUUUGGGGUGGCCAAGGCUCCGUUAGGGUCAUGUGGGCUGCAGUGCGUGUGUUCCUCUGGCAGAAGGGACACUCCACCUUUGGGGCUCUGGACCUGGGCAGGGGACAGGAAGGUGUGACAACGUGGCUGUCCCCAGAGGCUGCUGUCCCAGGUGCCAAGAAGCACCAGGGGUGGGAGAAGGAGCUGGCCACAGAGCUUUGUAAAUGGAAUAAUCCUCUCGUCAGUGUUGUCAUGGAGUCCUCAGCAUGUGGGGUUCAAUGUAAAUGUACAGCCCAAGCCCUAGUGUAUUGUGUACAGGACAAACCAAUUCAUGCUGUUGCUCAGCUUCUCCCAAAGGCAAACGCUGUCUGCCCUCCUGGGCCCAGUCAGACAGCUGGGUGGGGCACAGGGGCUGUCCUGCACUGGGGUGGGGGAAGGGGAACAGAGGUGAGCAGAGUCCAUCAGGGGCUGGGUGCGAUUCUACGUGUCUGUACAGAGGGUCUCCCUGCCACUCCCCCAGGGAUAUUGUGCAACUUGGACAAAGGCCAAUUACUUUGACCGGCAAUGGCGUCAGCCUCACUGCUGCUGCCUUUUGGCUAAUUUGCAUAGUGUUACCCAAAAUGCCUUGCGUUUUGUUUUUUUUAAUCGUAACAACUCCAGUGGAACCCACUUAAAUGAAUAAAGGAAUCAAACUUGAAACCAAA